GGGGAAGGCUAAAUGGCAGUCGAACGGACUCAUAUUGAAACCUAGUGAUUUAUGAGUUAGUGGCGGACGGGUGAGUAACGCGUGGAUAACCUGCCGUAUACCGGGGGAUAACACUUAGAAAUAGGUGCUAAUACCGCAUAAGCGCACGGCUCCGCAUGGGGCAGUGUGAAAAACUCCGGUGGUAUACGAUGGAUCCGCAUCUGAUUAGCUAGUUGGCGGGGUAACGGCCCACCAAGGCAGCGAUCAGUAGCCGGCCUGAGAGGGUGGACGGCCACAUUGGGACUGAGACACGGUCCAAACUCCUACGGGAGGCAGCAGUGGGGAAUACUGCACAAUGGGGGAAACCCUGAUGCAGCGACGCCGCGUGAGUGAAGAAGUAUCUCGGUACGUAAAGCUCUAUCAGCAGGGAAGAAAAUGACGGUACCUGACCAAGAAGCCCCGGCUAACUACGUGCCAGCAGCCGCGGUAAUACGUAGGGGGCAAGCGUUAUCCGGAUUUACUGGGUGUAAAGGGAGCGUAGACGGCAGCACAAGUCUGGAGUGAAAUCCCGGGGCUUAACCCCGGAACUGCUUUGGAAACUGUGCGGCUGGAGUGCAGGAGGGGUAAGCGGAAUUCCUAGUGUAGCGGUGAAAUGCGUAGAUAUUAGGAGGAACACCGGUGGCGAAGGCGGCUUACUGGACUGUAACUGACGUUGAGGCUCCAAAGCGUGGGGAGCAAACAGGAUUAUAUACCCUGGUUGUCCACGCCGUAAAAGAUGAUUACUAGGGUGUCGGGGGACCAAGGGUCCUCCGGUGCCGGCG
rnacentral:rRNA from 1 species